rnacentral:rRNA from 1 species
GACGAACGCUGGCGGCGUGCCUAACACAUGCAAGUCGAACGGAGAUAUGAUUUCGGUUGUAUCUUAGUGGCGAACGGGUGAGUAACGCGUGAGCAACCUGACUCUUAGAGGGGGAUAACACUCGGAAACGGGUGCUAAUACCGCAUAAGACCACGACAUGGCAUCAUGACGAGGUCAAAGGAGCAAUCCGCUGAGAGAGGGGCUCGCGUCCCAUUAGAUAGAUGGCGGGGUAACGGCCCACCAUGUCAACGAUGGGUAGCCGAGCUGAGAGGCUGAUCGGCCACACUGGAACUGAGACACGGUCCAGACUCCUAUGGGAGGCAGCAGGUGGGGAAUAUUGGGCAAUGGGCGCAAGCCUGACCCAGCAACGCCGCGUGAAGGACGAAGGUUUUCGGAUCGUAAACUUCUUUGACCAGGGACGAAAGAAUGACGGUACCUGGUGAACAAGCCACGGCUAACUACGUG